rnacentral:rRNA from 1 species
AUGCAACACUCUCACUCUAAUAAACUCAUUACGGAUCCUGCCAGUUCUAUCAGAUCUACAUCUAACACUUCUCCUAGCAAGGCACCAAGCUUCCCCCACCUCUCUCGUGAGAGAUCGGGCACCAUCACAUCAGAAGCUUGCGAGUCCAUGGCCAUCCGUCCAUUUUUUUUUGAUAAAUCUCAAAAAGUAGACCAAGCAAUACUUGCCGCUGCGCACAUGCAGCCCAUCACGAGAAAGGAGAUCCAGUACGUAGUUCUGUUCAACUCGCACCGCUCCCGCCGGCCGGCGCCGGAAAGGAGAAGCCGCUCGCGCGCCCCGCACCGGCAACCGCUCCCGCGGACCUCGCGAAUCCAGGUCCAAUCUCCGCAGCCCAUGAGAACCAUUGGAGGUUUUGUUCACCAUCCCAUGGUCUUUGAUUUUGGUGUCGUCGCAGGGAAGAAGACGCGCCGCCGGGUGCCGAUGACGGACGAGGAUCGGUGGAGGAUCGACCGCCUGAAGGAGCUGCACGCGUCAGGGACCGAGGAGCUGCACGAGCUGAUGGACAUACACAAGGAGCUGCGCGACUACCACGACGAGCUUCUGUUCCGGCGGAGGUGCCUGGCCGCGCGCCUGGUCAGCCGGGUCGCCUUCCAGCGCCGCGACGCCGCCGCCUACGUCAAGCACCACCUUGGCCUUGGCCUGAAGGUGGGGGAUAAGCUGCCGGAGGAGCUCAAGCAGGCCAGGCCGCCAAUCUCAAUGGCCCUUUUCUUGUGGCAUGAGAUGGGCAGGGCCUUGUACAUAGGCAUGGAUAACUUCAUGGAUGAGUACAGCAACACCGAAGAGUACCGGAGAGGGAUGCUGGCGUUGGUGCCCGGGGCUGUCCCUGAUGAGAACGGAGCCCCGCCGGAUUCUGUUUGCUUGGUGUGGAUGAGUGCUUGUUUAAUCCUGAGAACGAAAUGUUGCUAA